UCGUACGACGAGUUUGAUCAUGGCUCAGAACGAACGCUGGCGGCAGGCCUAACACAUGCAAGUCGAGCGAGGUAGCAAUACCUAGCGGCGGACGGGUGAGUAACGCGUGGGAACGUACCCUUUGCUACGGAAUAGCCCCGGGAAACUGGGAGUAAUACCGUAUGUGCCCUUCGGGGGAAAGAUUUAUCGGCAAAGGAUCGGCCCGCGUUGGAUUAGGUAGUUGGUGGGGUAAUGGCCUACCAAGCCGACGAUCCAUAGCUGGUUUGAGAGGAUGAUCAGCCACACUGGGACUGAGACACGGCCCAGACUCCUACGGGAGGCAGCAGUGGGGAAUCUUAGACAAUGGGCGCAAGCCUGAUCUAGCCAUGCCGCGUGAGUGAUGAAGGCCUUAGGGUUGUAAAGCUCUUUCAGAUGGGAAGAUAAUGACGGUACCAUCAGAAGAAGCCCGGCUAACUCCGUG
rnacentral:rRNA from 1 species